UACUGCAAAGAGACUAUUCUGAGGGAGGUUACAAUUUGCAUAUACUCUUCCCUCAAGCGCUGCCCAGGUUUUGUGCGAUUCCGGUUAAGACAAUGAAGUUUUUGCUUGUUUAGGUGAGAUGGGGAAGAAAAGGGGUUUCCCCAAUUGGGUUCCUAAUGGGUUGACAUGUUCUGCAGGUAUUUUUGAAAAGAGCUCCUGGGUUUAUAUUUAAUUUUGAAAAGGUACUUGGUGAAAAUUCUAGGAGUAACAAAGUUCUAUUGGAGAUGAUUAGGCUUGGACAUUUGAAGCAAUACCUUACCUCAGGAAGCUUUUCAAGGAUUACUCGGAAGAAAUUUCUCAACAAAGGAUUCUUAGGUGGUUGUCUACCAAGAACAAUCCAAAAAUAAAUUUUGUUGAUCUCUUCAGUCCUCCUCAUGAUAUAAUUGUACAUCCCUGGCUUGUCCCCACAAAGCAAAAGUUGCAAAUGUCAUUCUUUUUAACUCUAGAAAUCAUUGACACAAAAUAAACCCUACAGUGGAUAUGAUAAAAAAAAGAAUUGGCUGGAGCAAUAACCAUCAAAAGGGAAGCACUUAUUGUUCCUGGUGAUGCUGAUGAUGGUGCAAUAAAUGUUGGUG